CCACAUCAUGUACGAUCACCAGAGUUAAGCAAGGUCGAGGCUGGUCAGUACUUAGAUGGGUGACGGCUUCGGAAUACCAGGUGUUGUAAG